UUAUACCAAUUCCGCUCGUUCAACAGAAUUGUCAGCUUCAAAAUAGGAAAAAAAGAAAUUUCAAUGGAAAACAAGAAGUCCAGUUCGCCGGCAGGCUUCAUUGAUUCGACUGUAGUUCCAGGGGAUGUGGUGCUUGACCUCUCCUCCAUGACCAACCAGACCAUCAAGAUAGGUGGCGGUCUCCGUCAGGAUUGUGAUGCUAUUUCUGUGAUGAAGGCUGGAACACUUAGAUUCUCAAAACCAAAUAAAUAUUGGGUUGAAAGUUCUCAAAAAAGGUAUGUGCCUUGCGUGGAAGAUACUGUUCUUGGUAUUGUGGUAGACUCUAAAGCAGAUAAUUUUCUGAUUGACAUCAAAGGACCUGCUUUGGCAUUUUUGCCUGUGCUGGCAUUUGAAGGGGGGACCAGGAGGAAUAUACCAAAGUUUGAGGUUGGUACUCUUCUUUAUCUUCGUGUUGUGAAGGCAAACUUUGGCAUGAACCCUGAAUUGUCCUGCACUGAUGUCAGUGGAAAAGCUGCUGAAUUUGGCCCCCUCAAAGAUGGAUACAUGUUUGAAAUUUCAACUGGUUUAUCAAGAAAGCUGUUAAGUUCACCAACAUGUCCGAUUCUUGAGGCUCUUGGCAAGAAACUCUCCUUUGAAAUAGCUAUUGGCUUAAACGGUCGGGUUUGGGUGAAUGCUACCUCUCCAGACAUCAUUGUUAUUGUUGCUAAUGCAAUCAUGAAGUCAGAGUCUCUGAGCACAGCACAACAGAUAAUUAUGGUGGAGCAUUUGCUUAAGAACAUUCAGUGAUGAAGUUGGUUGAGAAGGUUCUAUGGAUAACUUGAGAUCUAUGGUGAAUGCUAUAUGAUUCGAGGGACAUGCAUACUCGUUGAUCGUUGUGCUGUGACGGGCAAAGGAUGAGAAGGUAAAUGUCAUUUGACCUUGUUCAGUAACACAAUCACGAAUGUAAAAGAUUUGAGAUGUUGGCAUUUGGUUUAUUUAGUAUUCUUCUGCUGAGCAUCUCAUUUAGUUGGUGAAUGAUUAAACUUUAGUCGGUAGACAUUAGUUUUGUAAGUUCAGUCUCUGUUCAUUUAUGAAAAUACUCACAAGGGAAGGCUUUGCAAGAUCGAUGGCAUGGGAGGCAGCUGCGGCUUAUUCUUAUUCUCUGGAACCUACGAAUCUAU